AUUGAACGCUGGCGGCAUGCUUUACACAUGCAAGUCGAACGGUAACAGGGUGCUUGCACCGCUGACGAGUGGCGAACGGGUGAGUAAUGCGUCGGAACGUGCCGAGUAGUGGGGGAUAACGCAGCGAAAGUUGUGCUAAUACCGCAUACGUACUGAGGUAGAAAGUGGGGGACCUUCGGGCCUCACGCUAUUCGAGCGGCCGACGUCUGAUUAGCUAGUAGGUGAGGUAAAGGCUCACCUAGGAGACGAUCAGUAGCGGGUCUGAGAGGAUGAUCCGCCACACUGAGAAUGAGACACGGCCCAGACUCCUACGGGAGGCAGCAGUGGGGAAUUUUGGACAAUGGGCGAAAGCCUGAUCCAGCCAUGCCGCGUGUCUGAAGAAGGCCUUCGGGUUGUAAAGGACUUUUGUCGGGGAGGAAAUCCCCAGCGCUAAUACCGCUGGGGGAUGACAGUACCUGAAGAAUAAGCACCGGCUAACUUCGUGCCAGCCGCCGCGGUAAAAC
rnacentral:rRNA from 1 species